rnacentral:rRNA from 1 species
GCAAGAUUAAAACUCAAAGGAAUAGACGGGGACCCGCACAAGCGGUGGAGCAUGUGGUUUAAUUCGACGAUACGCGAAGAACCUUACCUGGCCUUGACAUAGAAAGAACUUACUAGAGAUAGUUUGGUGCUAGCUUGCUAGAACUUUCAUACAGGUGCUGCACGGCUGUCGUCAGCUCGUGUCGUGAGAUGUUGGGUUAAGUCCCGCAACGAGCGCAACCCUCGUGUUUAGUUACUAACAGUUCGGCUGAGGACUCUAGACAGACUGCCUGGGUAACCAGGAGGAAGGUGAGGACGACGUCAAGUCAUCAUGGCCCUUACGGCCAGGACUACACACGUGCUACAAUGGGGUAUACAAAGAGCCGCAAUACCGCGAGGUGGAGCAAAUCUCAUAAAAUAUCUCCCAGUUCGGAUUGAAGUCUGCAACUCGACUUCAUGAAGUUGGAAUCGCUAGUAAUCGUGAAUCAGCAAUGUCACGGUGAAUACGUUCCCGGGUCUUGUACUCACCGCCC